AUGGCGUCCAAGGGCGAGAGGGAUGUGGAGAUCCACGUCUCCUCCCCGCUGCCCGACGACCGCGACGCCGCUAGGCCCUUGCUGCCCGCCGCCUGCGAGGCCUACUCCGUCUCCGCCGCAAUCCUCCCCUUCUUUUUCCCAGCUCUGGGUGGGCUUCUCUAUGGCUAUGACAUCGGGGCAACAUCUGGUGCCACCAUAUCGCUCAAGUCCCCCACAUCCAGUGGUACAGCAUGGCACGACCUGUCAUCAGUGCAAACCGGCCUCGUGGUCAGCGGCUCACUCUAUGGUGCUUUGAUCGGAUCCGCCACGGCAUUCACCAUUGCGGAUUUUCUAGGAAGGCGCAGAGAGCUUGUUGUUUCUUCUAUCAUGUAUUUGAUUGGAGCUCUUCUCACCGCAGUGGCUCCUAACUUCCUUAUCAUGGUGGUUGGUCGCUUUUUAUAUGGCAUAGGAAUUGGAUUGGCUAUGCACGCUGCUCCAAUGUAUAUUGCUGAGACUGCUCCAAGUCAGAUUAGAGGCAUGCUCAUCUCUCUCAAGGAGUUCUUUAUUGUUCUUGGGAUGCUUCUUGGUUAUAUAGUAGGCAAUCUAUUUGUUGAAGUGAUUUCUGGUUGGCGCUACAUGUAUGCCACCAGUGCUCCGAUAUGUGUCAUUAUGGGCAUCGGAAUGUGCUGGUUACCUUGUUCACCUAGGUGGCUUCUGUUAUGUGCCACACAAGGAAAAGGAGAUCUGCGGGAGACAAAAGAAAAUGCUACACGUUGCUUAUGUCGAUUGAGGGGUCAAGCGUCACCUGAUUUGGUUUCGGAGCAGGUCAAUUUGAUUCUGGAAGAACUCUCAUACGUUGGUGAAGAGAAAAAAGCAGGCUUCAGUGAGAUCUUUCAAGGAAAGUGUCUCAAAGCAAUGAUAAUUGGAUGUGGUUUGGUGUUCUUUCAGCAGGUCACUGGUCAACCAAGUGUGCUAUAUUAUGCUGCGACAAUUUUUCAGAGUGCUGGAUUCUCUGGAGCAUCUGAUGCCACUCGUGUAUCAAUUCUUCUUGGCUUGCUGAAGCUGAUUAUGACUGGAGUUGCCGUUCUUGUGGUUGACAAACUUGGCAGAAGACCAUUACUAAUUGGUGGUGUUAGUGGAAUUGCUGUCUCCCUAUUCUUAUUGUCUUCAUACUAUACCUUGUUUACGGGUGCUCCUUAUGUGGCUGUAAUAGCACUUCUACUGUAUGUUGGCUGCUACCAGUUAUCAUUUGGCCCGAUUGGCUGGCUUAUGAUUUCGGAGGUUUUCCCGCUGAAACUGCGUGGCCGUGGAUUGAGUGUUGCUGUUCUUGUGAACUUCGCCUCCAACGCGCUUGUCACUUUUGCUUUCUCCCCACUAGAGGACUUGAUUGGCACCGGGGUUCUCUUUGCUUCGUUUGGGGUGAUUGCGGUGGCGUCUCUCGCAUUCAUAUUCUGCAUUGUGCCUGAAACAAAAGGGCUCACCCUGGAAGAAAUCGAAGCCAAACUGUAG
rnacentral:rRNA from 1 species